ensembl:snRNA U6 U6 spliceosomal RNA
AUGCUCCCUUCAACAGCACAUAUACUAAAGUUGGAAAUGAUACAGAGAUUAGCAUGGCCCUUGCUCCAGGAUGACAUGCAAAUUUGUGAAGAGCUGCAUAAUUUU